rnacentral:rRNA from 1 species
AGUAGGGAAUCUUCGGCAAUGGGGGCAACCCUGACCGAGCAACGCCGCGUGAGUGAAGAAGGUUUUCGGAUCGUAAAGCUCUGUUGUAAGUCAAGAACGGGUGUGAGAGUGGAAAGUUCACACUGUGACGGUAGCUUACCAGAAAGGGACGGCUAACUACGUGCCAGCAGCCGCGGUAAUACGUAGGUCCCGAGCGUUGUCCGGAUUUAUUGGGCGUAAAGCGAGCGCAGGCGGUUUGAUAAGUCUGAAGUUAAAGGCUGUGGCUCAACCAUAGUUCGCUUUGGAAACUGUCAAACUUGAGUGCAGAAGGGGAGAGUGGAAUUCCAUGUGUAGCGGUGAAAUGCGUAGAUAUAUGGAGGAACACCGGUGGCGAAAGCGGCUCUCUGGUCUGUAACUGACGCUGAGGCUCGAAAGCGUGGGGAGCGAA